UGCUGGAGGAGUGCCAAAGCAAAGUGGCAUGCUGCUCUCAGAAGGAAGGGACAAUGGUGCCACUUUGGUAAAGUCCAACUAAACUAGAAAAUUUCAUCUUGUCAAUUUUUCUACUUUCUUAGUCAAGUUUAAUUUAGAAUAUGUACCAUGAGGGUGAGAAUUUAGCUCAAUGGUGUCGCUGCCUGCCUCGAAAGUGAAAGGUCCCAAGUACCAAAAAAAAAAAAAAAAAGAUGAGAAUAUGUACUGUGUCUUCUUGUGCUAUUUCAGUCUGAUCAUCUAGACCUGUUGUAUUUGGCAAUGCAUGGCUGUGCAUUUGGAGGAAACAUAAGGAAAGAAAUAUGCAGUCACUCACCAGGAUGCACUAAAUCUACUACUCCUGUUUAGCCGGAAGUCUGGGUCACACCCACCUCUGGGUCUCCGCUGGGAGGAACAGCUGGAGGUCCUGAGUGGGGGGCAGUUCAUCCCUUUCCUCCUGCUCCAGGAAAGUCCCAGCAGUACCCACCCACUUCAAAGGUUGCCCCAAAGCUGGUGGAACCUCCUGCUCAGAGCAGGUCCUCCAUGAGCCUGGGGUGGCUGUGGGACACAGCGGGGCCUGAAGAUGAAAAGUCCUGGCCCUUCUAACAAACGCUGCUAUGCCUGAAAUCGAUGAAGAUUCCUAGGAGAAUAAUGCAGCCACAGCACUCUCAGAGCUGGAGCGUUAGCCACCAGCUCACACAAGGUAUGUUCGGUUCCUGUGCGAGUCUUCCUGCAUCUGAACGGAACUUCUCAGUGACCAUGUCCUGCCCAAGCCAUGCACUGCUGCAGCUGGCCAGAGAAGGGCUGGAGUCAGCCUUCCCUCCUCCCUGAGCCAGGCGGGACCUGCACGCUCUGAGGCUACUGGAUCCCCCAGGCCAGAGCUGCUUGGACUCAGGAAGCGACUUGGAGACCAGUCAAGGGAAAGUGCUGCUGGACCUCAAGCAGAAUUAGUCCCUGGAUCCUGGCUCCUCGCUUACUGGCCUUGGGCGCACACCAGUGCCUCCUCCAGAGACAGGCCUGGCCUAAGAGGAAACCUGAGGUCACCCUGUGGCGUUGGGCCGGCCUGUGAGCACAAAAUGAAGGUGGAGGGAGGUGGGCAAAGGAAAGGCGAGUUCUCCACUCUAAGGUGCACCCUGUGAAGAAGAUACUGUGACUUCCUCCAUGCCUCACGUUCUAUGUUAGAGGCUCAGGGGCGUGAAGGGCUUCUAUGGAAGAAAAUGGGGUACAGGGAGACAGCAGGCAGGAAAUUCCUGCACUGCAUGGGGGUCUUAUUCAGAGCACGGUCUUCUCAUGCAGUAGGCUCUUUCCCUCCAGUGUGCACUGCUUCUGUCUCCUGUUUCUCCUCAUGGAAGCAGAAGUUGGCCUUGGUCUCCUGGGGUCAGCGUCUGCAUUUUCUUUUCAGACAGACACAUUGCUUUCCCAUGAGCCAAGUUGUACAAGGAGAAAGAGUGGUACAGAGGCCUCUUGAGGAAUCAGAAUACCACAUGGGAGGUAUCGGUCCA